AGAAGGUCUCUUUCCUUCCUGAAGCAAGGAAAAGGCAUGGGGCCUCAGGCCCCUUUGCCGGGAGUGCAGAAGAGGCAGGCCUAAAGCUGGGAAGUAUAUUUCAGAGUCCUGAAGGAUGGUAUUGCUCUCAUCAAACAUAGGAACAAAACUGAAGGCCCCUGUGGAUUGCAGAAGUAUGGACAAGUGUGAAGCUUUAGUGUGUCUGGAAGCAGCUGGCCUCUUGUGGUGGAAGAAAAAGCACAUGUGAAGUUUAAUGGAGCACAGAAAAUGGAGGAAGAGAUAAGCACAUACAGCUUGCUGAAAUUGCCAUGUCUGCUCAGUACUACUGAAGAUCCAGGAGGGAAUGCAAACUGUGAUGCUUUUUUUGGAAAGCAAUCUGGAAAAGUGUACACAAUACUGAAUUAAAAUAGUU